AUUUUUCUUUGUUGUUGCUAUAAAAGAACAUUAAUGCGGAUAGAAUAUAAAGAUGCGAUGAAUAUCCGACGACCGUUUUAAAAUAUAUAUAUUUUUAUAACCUUACUCAUUAUUAUGUCCUUUUUUUUUAAUAAAAAAAAAAGAACUAGGAAAAAAAGUUUCUGUAACGUCGUUCCAUUAUAUGAUUUAAUAUAAAUAAACUAUUAAUGUCAGAAACUUUGUGACUUAUAUUACUGAAAGAAAUCAUAUUUAUUAUGAUGUCGUAUAUUCUUCUUAACGUAUAGAUCAUUUUACGAUCAAAACUUCCUGACUAUUCAACCACAUGCCCCAGGAUGAGACCGAUCACAAGGUCUUACUGCAUCAUAAUAUCUUAUCACCGAAAAUCCUUACAGCACCGUAAACCAAAGCUUCUUGGUGCCAUAAAUGUCUAACUUUCAAUGUACAGUAAACCUUAUCCAACACCAUUAUCGUCACGUAAAACUUCCAUCUGUACAUCUCUCACUAUAUAUAUAUAUAUGGCAAUAUCAACACGUUUCGAAACGACAUAUUAGUAUCUUGUCUAGUCCCGUAUACAGUAUUUAUCCAUUUAGCAAUCAACUACGUUGUUUGUUUCUCUUAAUAACCUUCUAAACACGGAAAAAAUAG
rnacentral:lncRNA from 1 species